AAAUGAACCAGUGUUCCAGCCCUGUUGCAUUUGACUAGUAGCAUUAAGCUAAGUUGUUCUCCAUUUGGCAUAUUGAUUUCUAUUUUGACUGAUAAUUCCAGCUUUCGCUCACGACGGAGGUCAAAUGUCACUGCUGUUGUUUUCUUUAAUCCCCCUGCACUUUCAUCACAUCCAGUGGCGAGCCCCUCAAGCUUCACCUUCAUCGAAGUCAAGAAAAGUUGGUCUGGUAGUUGAGGAUACCUAUUCCAGCCAAUCGCUACUCAUCGUUACAGCACUGCUGACCCGUGGUAGAAGAUGACCACCACAUCACGAUUGCUGUGCUGGUCACUCGGCAACGACCCCGAGGCAAUAAUGGAGAGGUUACAAAAUAAAGGACAAUUUCCACGUCAUGGACACUGUGAUGAACUACAUUAACUGAUUCCAUGGCAAAGUAAACUGACUUAUCCUGUGGCCAGAUUUUCCACUCACACA